rnacentral:rRNA from 1 species
AUCAGUUUAGUGGCAAACGGGUGAGUAACACGUAAGUAACCUGCCUUUAAGUAGGGGAUAACUCCGGGAAACCGGGGCUAAUACCGUAUGUGAUAGUUGAGGUAAUGCACUACUAUUAAAGCCUUCGGGCACUUAAAGAGGGGCUUGCGUCCGAUUAGCUAGUUGGUGGGGUAACGGUUCACCAAGGCUGUGAUCGGUAGCUGGUCUGAGAGGACGGUCAGCCACACUGGGACUGAGACACGGCCCAG